GCAUGCGCUGCACGUCACAUGAACGCAUAACGUAUAUAGACAGAAUACACUGUUGCAGGUAUCGAUAGAUCGUUUUCUUUUUGCGAAAAUCUCGGAGACUAGAGCUGAGCUACGAUUGCACGUGCAUACAGGGAAAAAUUGUUCAAAAUGUCCUAUAUUCGAAAUAUCGAACGUAUCCAAAAGUCAUUGAAAUCUAAGAACAAGGGUCGUCGGUCGCCGGAUUGAAAAAACUUAUCCCGAAACACAAAUCCAAUACACUGAUGAUAUCCGUUUCUAAUUGAAUUAUAACAGAUGUUUCUUACAAUCUUGCAUACGUAGUUGUGAUCGGAUUUUGAGAGUGCCGAUAGAUGUUAGACGUAUCGAACGUGGAAAAGGAUAAUGCGAGUGAAAAAGAAAGAGGGACUAAGAGUCGAAACGUUUGGCUUCCAUAUGAAAUAGUAGAAAGGCACGCUACAAGCUGAGACCUUUAACUGAAAUAUCGAACUUUUUUAUUUUUCAUUUGUGAUGAAUAGAACCUUUAUCAACGUGUUUUUUUUUUACGCGUUUCUGGUUACUAUAAUUUGCGAACAUAUUCGCUUAUUUCAUAAAUAAUAAUUAAAUAAAUAUCAGUAAGUAAAUAUAAAAUUCAAGUUAUACCGUG